rnacentral:rRNA from 1 species
AGAGUUUGAUCCUGGCUCAGGACGAACGCUGGCGGCGUGCUUAACACAUGCAAGUCGAGCGAAGCAUUUUGGGUAGCUUGCUACCUGAUUUGACUGAGCGGCGAACGGGUGAGUAACACGUGGGUGAUCUGCCUGGAAGCCUGGGAUAACAGUUGGAAACGGCUGCUAAUACCGGAUGAUGUUUUAGCUGUAGGGGCUAAAACCAAAGCGCUAUGUAGCGCUUCCAGAUGAGCCCGCGUCCCAUUAGCUAGUUGGUGGGGUAAUGGCCUACCAAGGCGACGAUGGGUAGCCGGUCUGAGAGGAUGGUCGGCCACACUGGGACUGAGACACGGCCCAGACUCCUACGGGAGGCAGCAGUGGGGAAUUUUGCGCAAUGGGGGAAACCCUGACGCAGCAACGCCGCGUGAGUGAAGAAGGCCCUUGGGUCGUAAAGCUCUGUCAAGUGGGAAAAAAGUCUUGCCGUUAAUAGCGGGAGGGCCUGAUGGUACCACUAAAGGAAGCACCGGCUAACUCCGUGCCAGCAGCCGCGGUAAUACGGAGGGUGCAAGCGUUGUUCGGAAUUACUGGGCGUAAAGAGCGUGUAGGCGGCAUGGUAAGUCAGAUGUGAAAGUCCUGGGCUCAACCCAGGA